ACACAUUCAGUAGGGAAUAUGAGGUCAUUUUAGUGGUAUAUUUUGGGGGUUCUAUCUAUGGUAGGAUAGGAAAAUGUGGGGUGGAUUAGUAAAUUAAUUUGGGGUUAGGAUUUAAUUACCUUACUAAGAUGUUGAAUGGUAAUUAAUGCUAAGUAGGUCUAGCUUGUUAACUAUGCCUAGUAGCUUAUGUAACCACAGCUAUGGCAAAUGAUUAUGGGUUAUGAUUUAUGUUAUAUGUCUACAACUAUGACAAACAUUUAAAGUUUAUGGCUAUGCCUUAUGUAAUAUAAGCAGAACUGUGUUUCUGGGUAAUGCAUAUCUUCACUUUUAAAUGAUAAGCCAUAAGGAAAUCUUCUUGUACAAUAUAAAAGAUACUAAUAUUCCAAUAUGUGGAAGACAUUAAAACUGAUCCUAGAGUUCUUUCAAACCGAAAUAUUACAUAAAAUUAUUAAUGAUAACACACAUCUCUCACUUCAUAUUCCCAUGUCCACAACACCCCCUUUUCUCAAGUAAACCAACCUUGUAUUUCAAGAUCUCCAACUCACCAACAAUGUCAUAGUCCAUCAUUCUCAUAUUGGUAACGAAUACACUUCAUCUUUCUUUGAAAAAUUAACUUCUCCGAUAUUUUGCUUCAGCUCUACGUUCGCUAGUUCCAGUUUCCUCACGUUGACCUACAACCAUUUAAACUAGCUCUUGUUUCUCAUUCAUUGCAACAACAUUCACCUCAUACCAAAUGAAGUAACCGCAUCCUUUAUAAACUUUAGAAACAUAUUGGGGGACCAAAAAAAUUUCUUUCUGGAUUGGUGGACGUGUGGGAUAUACGCCCGGAAUCCGCAAUUUCACAAUACUUCUUCAUUAUCAUUGUUGAACUCAUCCUUGAGAAGGGGUCGUUUCCAUUGGAACAUUAUCUCAUCAAUUUCUUUACGAUACACGAAACCCUAAUGUCACAACCCAUACUAAUAACAUCCCAAGGUAUCAUGUACUAUCACGUGGAUGAAAUGCUUACUUGACUGACUCAGUUGCGGAGUGUUAGAUAUUACAAGAUUAAAUAAUUGCUUGCUUCUAAAGCUUUCAUCAAUAGCGUCAAUGGCGGAUUGCUGCGAUGGAAAGGGGAAAGGGGAGAAGGGAGAUAUAUUAUCCCAAACAUUUAAUUUUUAACUUCUUUAAACCAAAAAUUACUUGCUUUUUCUUACACCCACACAUUGCAUUCUGACACAUGGGUUGAAUUGGAAAAGGUUUCCCGUCCAGUACAUUUUGGCGGAAGCGAGUUUUUAAAUUGGGUCGCGGUUUGAGAAUCAUCACUUUGAGUUGCUUGAUUGAUGGUUGGAUAUCUCGCUUACCUGGGAUGCGUGGUUCUUCCGCAUGGUGAAGAGAAUGGAAGAUGACUAAAUUCAUGGAUGGCGAGUUGAAGAAAUUUCGACUCAAACCAACAUGAAUAAAAUACGACCUUGGAACCUUAUAAAAAAUGAUAAACCUACGAGAUUAUUAAAGUCGAUAACCCCUAUGUAGUCCUCCAUUAGGUCAGGGAAAGAAAUAUCAAUUAAAUGGACCCUUCACUUGUUGGUACUUCGACACAAACAAUCUAUUGGAUCAAUCCGACCAUCAAUCCGAUUGAAAUAAUAAAAGGAGGUACUAAAUAUUAAUUUUUAUGUGUUUUUAUCUCCAAAUCUUCAAAAAUCUAGAUUUAUUAGUUCUCUGAACCCACCACCAUCAUGAAACCCCCACUUUGUAUUUGCUAUAAGAGAGACUAGGAUCUUGAAAAUUGAUAUUUUUUUAAGCUUGUAAACUGGUUUUUGAAGAGCAACAAUGAAACCAAACUGUUUCGUGCUUCCUACUUGCGAGGGCCUGUGGGAAAGAACCACGACGACAAACGAAAGAAUGGAGGGGAGAAAAAUAUCUAAGACGAAGAUGGGAGAUGAAGAGAUGAGGAGAGAGAGCGGAAUAGAGAGAGUUUGUUAGACAAAAAGAAACCUAUUACUUCUGUUUUUUUUAAUUAUUAAAUUUCCUAUUUAAAUCCGGGCCUUCCGAUAAAAUACAACUAAAAGUGACUAAAUCUAAGGGUAGAGAAAACUUCAGCUAAGUGCUGACAUUUAAAUUUGACACCAACCUAUUAAAUCACUAGAAGCUCCUUUGGUUCACUUAUUUUUUUAUUUGAAGGAUUUUAUAUAUGAAUUGUGUCCCUUUGAUUUAAAAGAGUUGUCUCGUUUGUUUUUUUAUUGUAAAAAAAGAUUUAGUGUUGCGUAUUAACUUUUAUUUAUGAUCAUUUUAUUUUUUACACACCAAGUACAUUAUAGCGAAACCAAUAAAUUAAAAAUAGAUUAGAAAUAGGAAAAGAGUUCUGACACGCUUAUAAUACGUACUAAAAAAUACUCAAAUUACAGAAGUAACUAGGGUCAAAAUUCCUAAAAUUUCAAAAAUGUGUUUCAAAAUAAUAAUUAAUUAAUUGUCAAAUAUUCAAUUAAAAAUAUUUAAUUACUAAUUCACCUAAACCACCCUAAUCAAAUUAUAAUUCAAAAAACUAAUAAUUAGAUAUUAAAAGUUAAAAAUGAAUGGCGCACAUUUGUCCGCCACCUAUGAUUACAUCAACACACUUACGAUCAACAGUCCAGGCGACCAAUAUAGCGCAUGUGUUAUUGUGGUCGGCGCACGUAAAUGGCACCGAUGUUUGUACUAUUGGCGCACAUAACUAGUGUCGAACUUUUUUUCUCGAUUCUCUAACCUGUAAAUGGCGGAUCUGAGGUGGCGGCGACGGUGGCGGAUCUGAAGUGGCAGCGGCAGAUCUGGGCUACGGCGGCUGCAUAUUUAGGCUGCAGCGGACCUUCAAGGCGGCGGAUUUGGUGGCAGCGGCUGCCGAUCUGGAUGCGGUAGAACUUCUGACGGCUGCAAAUACCGGGUGGCGGCGACGACUCGGCCUGGUAGGAGAAGAACAUGGAGGUGAGAGAGAUGAGGGUUUUGAGUUAGGCCAUGAAUUUGUUUUGAGUUAGGUCGUGUGUGUAUUUAAUUAUUAGGUUCGAAAGGCAUUCGCGUAAUUAUACUCAUGAAAUUCAAAUGUUUGGGCUUUUUUAGCAAUCCUCAUGAUCAUCAUCGAAGAUUAAAACUCGAAUUAAUUCUAAGGAAACAUUUGGCG
rnacentral:lncRNA from 1 species